GAAAGCCUGCCGAAAAUCUCGUGAUUUUCGGCGGGAUCCACCCAGGCUCCCGUAAACCCUAGGAGUGGCCACCUCCUUUAGGGAGAAGGGGGCGCCAGUGUGUUUCGAAGCAAGAGGAAGCAGACGCGCCACCGGAGAACGUACGAACGACGACGCAUCCACCGGCGACAGUAGCCAAGCUCUGCAAUUAGGACCGUCGGGACUUUCGGACGAGGAAGACGCAGUGGCUGGCGUGGGUCUACCCUCGGCAUUCCCCGAGACGUCUCGGCCAGCGUGCAGCCCGCCCUUCGCAGGCUGCGUUCGGACACCACCCCGGAGCCUCGUUCCCUUUUUGGCCCAAACCGGAGGUGCGCCAUAAACCCUGCGCCGGCGGUGUUCUUCGCAGCCAUCGGUUUCUGCUCCUUCGGCGGCUUCGCGAACCUCUGGCUCGGCUAAGUGCGGCUUGGCAGUGCAGCUUGGCGGCUCGACAUUCGAAUAGUAUACCGAUUCCUAGGUUUUCGACCCUUCUGGAGCCAUUCCCACCCUUGUUUCAAACAUCUGAGGAGGUAGUUAGGCGCUGGAGUUAGCGUUGUGGGUGACUUCAGCCAAGGUCAAGGAGGUAAGGGCAAGGCUCCCAUGUACAGCUGACGGUGGGUGAUGCGAAGAGUCAUGGAAAUCUCGAGGAGAGUCUGUAGUGUCGUGGGCGCCUUGUUGGAUUCUUUUGGGUUCAUAGUUUUGCAAUUGUUCCUCCAGUUCUCUGUUGAUUACUUCUAGGCUAGGUUGUCGUAAUUGUUUUCCUAGGUAUGAACUGCUUAUAUUGAUAUGCAUUAUCGUUAUUGAGACUGUCUCACGUGAA